rnacentral:rRNA from 1 species
UACAUAUAAAGCAAGCGUUGUUCGGAAUUACUGGGCAUAAAAAAUGCGUAGAUGGUUUGUUAAGUCAGGGGUGAAAUCCCGCAACCCAACCGUGGAACUGCCUUUGAUACUGGCGAACUUGAAUACGUGAGGGGUAAAAAAAACGAGCAGUGUAGCGGUGAAAUGCGUAGAUAUUGCUCGGAAAGCCAGAGCCGAAAAAACCCUACUAAUGCGUAACUGACACUGAAGCACGAAAGCGUAAAAAGCAAACAGG